rnacentral:rRNA from 1 species
AUUGAACGCUGGCGGCAGGCCUAACACAUGCAAGUCGAGCGGUGCGGCGUACGGGUGAGUAAUGCCUAGGAAUCUGCCUGGUCGUGGGGGAUCACGUCCUGAAACGGGCGCUAAUACCGCAUAAUAUCAGCUGAGCCUAGGUCGGAUUAGAUAGUUGGUGGGGUAAAGGCCUACCAAGGCGACGCUCCGUAACUGGUCUGAGAGGAUGAGCAGUCACACUGGAACUGAGACAGUGUCCAGACUCCUACGGGAGGCAGCAGUGGGGAAUAUGGGACAAUGGGCGAAAGCCUGAUCCAGCCAUGCCGCGUGUGUGAAGAAGGGCUUCGGAUUGUAAAGCACUUUAAGUUGGGAGGCGUUACCAACAGAAUAAGCACCGGCUAACUUCGUGCCAGCAGCCGCGGUAAUAC